rnacentral:piRNA from 1 species
CUCUUCUGUAGUAUUGCUUGCCAUU